UGCCAGCAGCCGCGGUAACACGUAGGGACCGAGCGUUGUCCGGAUUUAUUGGGCGUAAAGAGCUCGUAGGCGGUUUUGUAAGUCGGAUGUGAAAACUCAGGGCUCAACCCUGAGACGCCAUCCGAUACUGCAAUGACUAGAGUCCGGUAGGGGAGCAUGGAAUUCCUGGUGUAGCGGUGGAAUGCGCAGAUAUCAGGAGGAACACCAAUGGCGAAGGCAGUGCUCUGGGCCGGUACUGACGCUGAGGAGCGAAAGCAUGGGGAGCAAACAGGAUUAGAUA
rnacentral:rRNA from 1 species